UGGGGAAUAUUGCACAAUGGGCGCAAGCCUGAUGCAGCCAUGCCGCGUGUGUGAAGAAGGCCUUCGGGUUGUAAAGCACUUUCAGCGGGGAGGAAGGCGGUGAGGUUAAUAACCUCAUCGAUUGACGUUACCCGCAGAAGAAGCACCGGCUAACUCCGUGCCAGCAGCCGCGGUAAUACGGAGGGUGCAAGCGUUAAUCGGAAUUACUGGGCGUAAAGCGCACGCAGGCGGUCUGUCAAGUCGGAUGUGAAAUCCCCGGGCUCAACCUGGGAACUGCAUUCGAAACUGGCAGGCUAGAGUCUUGUAGAGGGGGGUAGAAUUCCAUGUGUAGCGGUGAAAUGCGUAGAGAUGUGGAGGAAUACCGGUGGCGAAGGCGGCCCCCUGGACGAAGACUGACGCUCAGGUGCGAAAGCGUGGGGAGCAAACAGG
rnacentral:rRNA from 1 species